rnacentral:rRNA from 1 species
UGAGGAAUAUUGGUCAAUGGGUGCAAGCCUGAACCAGCCAUCCCGCGUGAAGGACGACUGCCCUAUGGGUUGUAAACUUCUUUUGUAUAGGGAUAAACCUACCCUCGUGAGGGUAGCUGAAGGUACUAUACGAAUAAGCACCGGUUAACUCCGUGCCAGCAGCCGCGGUAAUACGGAGGGUGCAAGCGUUAUCCGGAUUUAUUGGGUUUAAAGGGUCCGUAGGCGGACUUAUAAUUCAGUGGUGAAAGCCUGUCGCUUAACGAUAGAACUGCCAUUGAUACUGUAAGUCUUGAGUAUAUUUGAGGUAGCUGGAAUAAGUAGUGUAGCGGUGAAAUGCAUAGAUAUUACUUAGAACACCAAUUGCGAAGGCAGGUUACCAAGAUAUAACUGACGCUGAGGGACGAAAGCGUGGGGAGCGAACA